CCCGUGCCGGGCGUGCUUACACAUGCAAGUCGAACGAUGAAGCCCAGCUUGCUGGGUGGAUUAGUGGCGAACGGGUGAGUAACACGUGGGUGAUCUGCCCUGCACUCUGGGAUAAGCCUGGGAAACUGGGUCUAAUACCGGAUAGGACCUUCGGCCGCAUGGCUGGGGGUGGAAAGUUUUUCGGUGCAGGAUGAGCCCGCGGCCUAUCAGCUUGUUGGUGGGGUAAUGGCCUACCAAGGCGACGACGGGGUAAGCCGGCCUGAGAGAGCGAACCGGCCACACUGGGACUGAGGACACGGCCCAGACUCCUACCGGAGGCAGCAGUGGGGAAUAUGGCACAAUGGGCGCAAGCCUGAUGCAGCGACGCCGCGUGAGGGAUGACGGCCUUCGGGUUGUAAACCUCUUUCACCCAUGACGAAGCGCAAGUGACGGUAGUGGGGAGAAGAAGCACCGCCCAACUACGUGCCAGCAGCCGCGGUAAUACGUAGGGUGCGAGCGUUGUCCCGGAAAUUACUGGGCGUAAAGAGCUCGUAGGCGGUUUGUCGCGUCGUCUGUGAAAACCCGCAGCUCAACUGCGGGCUUGCAGGCGAUACGGGCAGACUCGAGUACUGCAGGGGAGACUGGAAUUCCUGGUGUAGCGGUGAAAUGCGCAGAUAUCAGGAGGAACACCGGUGGCGAAGGCGGGUCUCUGGGCAGUAACUGACGCUGAGGAGCGAAAGCGUGGGUAGCGAACAGGAUUAGAUACCCUGGUAGUCCACGCCGUAAACGGUGGGCGCUAGGUGUGGGUUUCCUUCCACGGGAUCCGUGCCGUAGCCAACGCAUUAAGCGCCCCGCCUGGGGAGUACGGCCGCAAGGCUAAAACUCAAAGGAAUUGACGGGGGCCCGCACAAGCGGCGGAGCAUGUGGAUUAAUUCGAUGCAACGCGAAGAACCUUACCUGGGUUUGACAUGUACCGGGACGACUGCAGAGAUGUGGUUUCCCUUGUGGCCGGUAGACAGGUGGUGCAUGGCUGUCGUCAGCUCGUGUCGUGAGAUGUUGGGUUAAGUCCCGCAACGAGCGCAACCCUUGUCCUGUGUUGCCAGCACGUAAUGGUUGGGAACUCGCAGGAGACUGCCGGGGUCAACUUCGGAAGAAGGUGGGGACGACGUCAAGUCAUCAUGCCCCGUAAGUCCAAGGCUUCACACAAGCGACAAUGGUCGGUACAGAGGGCUGCGAUACCGUGAGGUGGAGCGAAUCCCUUAAAGCCGGUCUCAGUUCGGAUCGGGGUCUGCAACUCGACCCCGUGAAGUCGGAGUCGCUAGUAAUCGCAGAUCAGCAACGCUGCGGUGAAUACGUUCCCGGGCCUUGUACACACCGCCCGUCACGUCAUGAAAGUCGGUAACACCCGAAGCCGGUGGCCUAACCCCUCGUGGGAGGGAGCCGUCGAAGGUGAUUCCGG
rnacentral:rRNA from 1 species